GAUGAACGCUGGCGGCGUGCCUAAUACAUGCCAGUCGAGCGAACGGACGAGAAGCUUGCUUCUCUGAUGUUAGCGGCGGACGGGUGAGUAACACGUGGAUAACCUACCUAUAAGACUGGGAUAACUUCGGGAAACCGGAGCUAAUACCGGAUAAUAUUUUGAACCGCAUGGUUCAAAAGUGAAAGACGGUCUUGCUGUCACUUAUAGAUGGAUCCGCGCUGCAUUAGCUAGUUGGUAAGGUAACGGCUUACCAAGGCAACGAUGCAUAGCCGACCUGAGAGGGUGAUCGGCCACACUGGAACUGAGACACGGUCCAGACUCCUACGGGAGGCAGCAGUAGGGAAUCUUCCGCAAUGGGCGAAAGCCUGACGGAGCAACGCCGCGUGAGUGAUGAAGGUCUUCGGAUCGUAAAACUCUGUUAUUAGGGAGGAACAUAUGUGUAAGUAACUGUGCACAUCUUGACGGUACCUAAUCAGAAAGCCACGGCUAACUACGUG
rnacentral:rRNA from 1 species